UUAGGUUUUCAACUUAAAGACAGGAGUUCGAGUCUCUUUGGGAGUG
rnacentral:tRNA from 5 species